GUAACAGCUCACUGGUCGAGAGGUCCUGCGCCGAAAAUGUCCGGGGCUGAAACACCACACCGAAGCCGCGGAACCCGUAAGGGUUGGUAGAGGAGCAUUCUUAGGGGAGCGAAGCAUUACCGGAAGGGGAUGUGGACCGCUAAGAAGAGAGAAUGCCGGAAUGAGUAGCGAGAGCAAGGUGAGAAUCCUUGCGGCCGAAUAUCCAAGGUUUCCAGAGUAAAGCUGAUCUGCUCUGGGUAAGUCGGGGCCUAAGGAGAGGCAGAGAUGCGUAUCCGAUGGACAGCAGGUUUAAGAUUCCUGCACCCCUUGUUAUCAGAACUGCGGGGACACGGGAAGGGAAGCAGAGCCGGGAAUGGAAAGCCCGGUGCAAGCGAAGUAGUCGCAGGGUUGGAAAAUCCGCCCUGCAUGAGACGAAGGCGUGAUGCGGAGCGAAAUGAAGUAGUGAAGCUGCGGCCCCUUCCUGUCGAGAAAAGCCGCUAUCGUGUAGCAAGGGCCCGUACCGUAAACCGACACAGGUGGAUGAGGAGAGGAUCCUAAGGCCGGCGGGAGAAGUGUUGUUAAGGAACUCGGCAAAAUGACUCCGUAACUUCGGGAGAAGGAGUGCUGCGCAAGCAGCCGCAGAGAAAUGGCCCAAGCAACUGUUUAGCAAAAACACAGGUCUAUGCGAAACCGAAAGGUGAGGUAUAUGGGCUGACGCCUGCCCGGUGCUGGAAGGUUAAGGGGAGAGGUUAGCGCAAGCGAAGCUUUGAACUUAAGCCCCAGUAAACGGCGGCCGUAACUAUAACGGUCCUAAGGUAGCGAAAUUCCUUGUCGGGUAAGUUCCGACCCGCACGAAAGGCGUAAUGAUUUGGGCACUGUCUCAACAACACACCCGGUGAAAUUGAAAUACCAGUGAAGAUGCUGGUUACCCGCGCCAGGACGGAAAGACCCCAUGGAGCUUUACUCCAGCCUGAUACUGGGAUUCGGUAUUGCAUGUACAGGAUAGGUGGGAGGCUAAGAACUCAUGGCGCCAGCCGUGAGGGAGCCGAUGUUGGGAUACCACCCCUGCAGUACUGGGUUUCUAACCUGCGCCCGUGACCCGGGCGGGGGACAAUGUCAGGCGGGGAGUUUGACUGGGGCGGUCGCCUCCGAAAGGGUAUCGGAGGCGCUCAAAGGU
rnacentral:rRNA from 1 species